rnacentral:rRNA from 1 species
CGGGACGGGUGAGUAACGCGUGGGUAACCUGCCUCACACAGGGGGAUAACAGUUGGAGACGGCUGCUAAUACCGCAUAAGCGCACAGUACCGCAUGGUACAGUGUGAAAAACUCCGGUGGUGUGAGAUGGACCCGCGUCUGAUUAGCUAGUUGGCAGGGCAACGGCCUACCAAGGCGACGAUCAGUAGCCGACCUGAGAGGGUGACCGGCCACAUUGGGACUGAGACACGGCCCAAACUCCUACGGGAGGCAGCAUG